rnacentral:rRNA from 1 species
GACCGGAAUGAACUGACCUCUGGUGUACCAGUUGUUCCGCCAGGAGCAUUGCUGGGUAGCUAUGUCGGGAAAGGAUAACCGCUGAAAGCAUCUAAGCGGGAAGCCUACUCCAAGAUUAGAAAUUUGUCUCGCCCUCGGGCGAGGCAGGGAUUUCGUGGAAGAUUACCACGUUGAUAGGCUCAAAGUGUAAGUGCAGUAAUGUAUUUAGCUGAAGAGUACUAAUUAAUCCAUUUACCCUCUCUCU